UGUUGUGGCUGUGAUCAACUCCGACUCCACUAUAUCCGCCUUCUACAAAUGUUCCACUAUCCGAACCUCCUCGGAGACAAUAGGGGCCAAUGGGGCGUGAGCCAGUUUCGUCUUUAAUACUUCUGAGUACGUCGACAUCGUGCGGGCUGACCGCUUGUCCUCACAGCGCGGCAGUUGUGGAGUUAGAUGACACACACUCGAGUAAAAACCCUAAUCACACUAAGAACCCUAAUCACAUUCAAGUAAAAGCCCUAACGUACAGAACUAUUCCACCACUGUGAUCCUUUUGCCAUGAUGACCGCUAACGACAGUAAGGAUUAGAUCGGGUAAUAUUUACUCCCUCACUUCAUUUGUGAUUGAACAACAAUUCAGCUAGGAGCAGUGAUGCAUGCAGUGCAGUUUCUCUCGAAGUGUACCUCCUCUUCGAGACAAGGUGCUCUGGAGCGUCAUUGUGCACUCCCCAUACUCCCUUUUGAAAUGAAUAUUGUGAUAGAGUGUUGCGUGUGGUGGUAAAGUACAGCCUCGGGAGGGGUGUCCCUGCCGUCUCCUCUCCCUUGGUUUAAGGGAAUGCGUGUGUGACUCCCAGCAGGAAGCAUGCAUCUCCUUGUCCUUCCCCUUUCCUUCCUUCCUGACCCGCUCUGCUCAGCUGAGCAGCCAGCCAUCCACCAGAAUGGCAGGUGACGAGGUUGGAGGUCUGCAGCUUCGGCGUUGUGGACGUUGCCGAUGGUCUCGUGCUCAGCUCCCAAAUUCUUGUAAACAGAAAACCAUGAAAACUUGUUCUUUUUGGGAACCCGAGUAGGUCCUGAGGCCGAAUUUUCCGGUCAGUCACGAUCUUAUGAAUUGCGUGUGCACCCUUCUCUAAUGCAACCUGGAGAUGCACAAGCAUUUCAAGGUCUACUCUGAGAUACAGAAUCUGGUCCUCGAAGUUUGAAGGCAAAGGCAAGUGGCGUGCUGGACUGGGAGAGAGCGUCAACUUCGUCAGAUGUCUCUUGGCACGAGACAAUCCCGUGUCAGUUCCCACAUUCUCAGUUUCUUCCUCCCGUUGAAUUGGGUGGUCAUUGUGCUUAGAAUUCUUAGUAAUUGUUUUUGCAGAGGCACCUACCAUAAAUAAACAUAAAAUUUACAGUAGAUUGAAGAAAGUUUUGCUGUACAAGAUGCAUUACGGAAUAGUACAGUACGAGACAGGCCGAGCUAUAAAGAAUUCUCAGCCCACAAUGAAUCACCACCUUAGUUCAAAUAAAUAAAGUCUACCACAACGCUCUAAUCAAAGAAUAACUAGUGCCAGAGAGCAUCUUCCUUUAGAGGUUCCAAGCGAUGGCGCUAAUUUUCUUCCCAACGUCUGCAAAAUGUCUGGGUAUAACUUGAAUUUGAACUGUUCAUAAC